UACGUAGGGGGCAAGCGUUGUUCGGAAUUACUGGGCGUAAAGGGCUCGUAGGCGGCCAACUAAGUCAGACGUGAAAUCCCUCGGCUUAACCGGGGAACUGCAUCUGAUACUGGAUGGCUUGAGUUCGGGAGAGGGAUGCGGAAUUCCAGGUGUAGCGGUGAAAUGCGUAGAUAUCUGGAGGAACACCGGUGGCGAAGGCGGCAUCCUGGACCGACACUGACGCUGAGGAGCGAAAGCCAGGGGAGCAAACGGG
rnacentral:rRNA from 1 species